rnacentral:rRNA from 1 species
UACAGAGGGGGCAAGCGUUGUUCGGAAUUACUGGGCGUAAAGGGCGCGUAGGCGCCUUCUAAGUCGAACGUGAAAUCCCCGGGCUCAACCCGGGAACUGCGUCCGAUACUGGAAGGCUUGAAUCCGGGAGAGGGAUGCGGAAUUCCAGGUGUAGCGGUGAAAUGCGUAGAUAUCUGGAGGAACACCGGUGGCGAAGGCGGCAUCCUGGACCGGCAUUGACGCUGAGACGCGAAAGCGUGGGGAGCAAACAGG